CAGGUAUACAAAGUAUAAUACUAAAUAUUGUUAUAAUUCACACAAAAUUGUUCUAUUGUACGUUUUAUGAUACCUGAUCUAAAGGUGCGCUUCUCCUUUAAGUGAUGCGAGGUCACAGUAUGACCUAAUUUCCUGUCCUGUCUCCUCCUCUUCCCUUUUGAAAUGUGAUUCUAUGGAAGAGAGUGUUAUAAGGGCCACUCAAUCUGAGGCUGCUUAUUUUGUCUCUGUUAUACAGUAAAUGAUCCAGUGAAUCUGCUGCCUGCUGUCCCGUGUCUGUUUCUACACCCACACAACGUAACACAACGCAGACCAAGUUUUAAUACCCGGUGUCGCUGGCCGCACAUCACGCUGGGCAUAAGCGAGCCGCACGGGUUACACGUGGUGCCGUGAACCUUUGGGUUCCGCAUGAUCGGCUGUUCACCGAUCGCCGGAGUUGCUGCUUCAACAGACGACGGGUGUGCUGUUCCGAAUCGCUGGAGGAGUGUUUCGCUGACCGCGGAGGCCGCAGCUCGUUUCAUCUUGUCACCUCUGCUCGACCAGUUCACUGUAUCUGCUGCUCACAUCAAGUAGGACGGCUUUAAUCGAACGAUUGCUUUUUGUGAGGUAUGGUUGAGAACUGUUUUGUUUCUAUCGACUACUAUUCGCUGCAUAUACACUUUGAUGUGUGUUGAACUGUUCCGUGAAACUGAACACUCAUUAUAAAGGAGUUUGAUCGUCACGUGGAACAUUUUUUUUUUCUCUCUCAUUCUCCGUGCAACUGUAUGCUGAACCGUUC